rnacentral:rRNA from 1 species
CCAAUCGAACCCGGAGAUAGCUGGUUCUCCUCGAAAUAGCUUUAGGGCUAGCCUCGUAUUAGUCUUGCGGAGGUAGAGCACUGAAUAUCCUAGGGGGCGUCAAAGCUUACCGAAGAUUAUCAAACUCCGAAUGCCGCGUAGAUGAUGUACGGGAGUCAGACUGCACGAGAUAAGUUGGGUAGUCAAAAGGGAAAGAGCCCAGACCACCAGCUAAGGUCCCAAAGUGCGUGUUAAGUGGUAAAGGAUGUGGGAUUUCGAAGACAACUAGGAUGUUGGCUCAGAAGCAGCCAUACAUUCAAAGAGUGCGUAAUAGCUCACUAGUCGAGAGGUCCUGCGCCGAAAAUGUCCGGGGCUAAAACACGACACCGAAGCUGUGGAUCCGAAAGGAUGGUAGAGGAGCAUUCUUAAGUCGACGAAGCUGUACUGUAAGGAGCAGUGGAGAGUUAAGAAGAGAGAAUGCCGGAAUGAGUAGCGAGAUUUAAGUGAGAAUCUUAAAGGCCGAAUAUCUAAGGUUUCCAGGGUAAAGCUGAUCUUCCCUGGGUAAGUCGGGGCCUAAGGCGAGGGCGAGAGCCGUAGUCGAUGGAUAACAGGUUGAAAUUCCUGUACUGCUUAUGGACAGAACUGUGGGGACGCAGAAGGAGAGCACGAGCCGGAAAUGGAAAAGCCGGUACAAGCGUAUAGCAGUCAUGCAGGCAAAACCGCAUGAAAAAUGUAAAGCGUUAUGUGGAUCGAACAUUAGUAGAGAAGCGUGUGAGCCAGCUGCCAAGAAAAGCCGCUAUUGUUUCAUAAGUACCCGUACCGUAAACCGACACAGGUGGAUGAGGAGAGAAUCCUAAGGCCGGCGGGAGAAGUGUUGUUAAGGAACUCGGCAAAAUGACUCCGUAACUUCGGGAGAAGGAGUGCCACAGAGAUGUGGCCGCAGAGAAAUGGCCCAAGCAACUGUUUAGCAAAAACACAGGUCUAUGCAAAACCGAAAGGUGAGGUAUAUGGGCUGACGCCUGCCCGGUGCUGGAAGGUUAAGAGGAGAGGUUAGAGCAAUCGAAGCUUUGAAUUUAAGCCCCAGUAAACGGCGGCCGUAACUAUAACGGUCCUAAGGUAGCGAAAUUCCUUGUCGGGUAAGUUCCGACCCGCACGAAAGGCGUAAUGAUUUGGGCACUGUCUCAACAACACACCCGGUGAAAUUGAAAUACCAGUGAAGAUGCUGGUUACCUGCGCCAGGACGGAAAGACCCCAUGGAGCUUUACUCCAGUUUGAUACUGGGAUUCGGUACUGUCUGUACAGGAUAGGUGGGAGGCUAGGAAAUGGUGACGCCAGUUGCCAUGGAGCCAACCUUGGGAUACCACCCUUACAGUACUGGGUUUCUAACCUGCAGCCGUAACCCGGCUGGGGGACAAUGUCUGACGGGGAGUUUGACUGGGGCGGUCGCCUCCGAAAGGGUAUCGGAGGCGCUCAAAGGUUCCCUCAGAAUGGUUGGAAACCAUUCGAAGAGUGCAAAGGCAGAAGGGAGCUUGACUGCGACACCGACGGGUGGAGCAGGU